UACGGAAGGGGCAAGCGUUGUUCGGAAUCAUUGGGCGUAAAGGGCGCGUAGGUGGCUCUGUGUGUCUACCGUGAAAGCGUACGGCUCAACCGUAUUUUGUCGGUAGAAACUGCAGGACUUGAGGCUGGGAGGGGCUGGUGGAAUUCCCUGUGUAGCGGUGAAAUGCGUAGAGAUGGGGGAGAACACUCGUGGCGAAGGCGGCCAGCUAGACCAGUUCUGACACUGAGGCGCGACAGCGUGGGAGCAAACAGG
rnacentral:rRNA from 1 species